rnacentral:misc_RNA from 1 species
CCUUUCCACUCGUUCUCCUUGGCGUGGAGCACUGCAGAUCCUUCCGCUGGCGUUUGCCGUGGCUUGGCGACCUUUCGAUCCCAAAGCCCUCCUAAACCUGCUGAUGCUUCCACGCCCUCCAAUGCCUCGUUUUGCGUCCAGACGCCUCGCGCGUGCACUUACCGCCGAGCCGGGCCUCGACGGCCGUGCCUGGACUUCAGCUUGGGAGGAGAUCAGCGCGCGCGCGCUGGAGAUGAACAUCGAUGCUGGCGACAAGGCUGCGGCAAAAG